rnacentral:rRNA from 1 species
UCGAGCGCAGGAAGUCGACGGAACCCUUCGGGGGGAAGUCGAUGGAAUGAGCGGCGGACGGGUGAGUAACACGUAAAGAACCUGCCCUCAGGUCUGGGAUAACCACGAGAAAUCGGGGCUAAUACCGGAUGGGUCAUCGGACCGCAUGGUCCGAGGAUGAAAGGCGCUUCGGCGUCGCCUGGGGAUGGCUUUGCGGUGCAUUAGCUAGUUGGUGGGGUAAUGGCCCACCAAGGCGACGAUGCAUAGCCGACCUGAGAGGGUGAUCGGCCACACUGGGACUGAGACACGGCCCAGACUCCUACGGGAGGCAGCAGUAGGGAAUCUUCCACAAUGGACGAAAGUCUGAUGGAGCAACGCCGCGUGAACGAUGAAGGCCUUCGGGUCGUAAAGUUCUGUUGUAAGGAAGGAAAAUGGCCCGCGGGCAAUGGCGGCACCUUGACGGUACCUUGCGAGAAAGCCACGGCUAACUACGUGCCAGCAGC